UUACUCUCAAAAUUUAGACUAAGUGAUCAUUCCCUAGGCAUUGAAUUAGGAAGGUACAGAAACAUUCCAAGAGCACAAAGAUUAUGUAAAAAAUGUGAAGUCCUAGAUGAUGAAUAUCAUUUCUUUUUGUAAUGUAACAUUAACAUAUCUUUGCGUUCUAAUCUUUUUGCUUAUCUAAAAGACUAUGUACCAUUAUUUCAGCAUCUUGAUGCAUUCAAUAAACUUAAACACAUUCUAAACCCCAUCCCUGAACUUGUUUGUCAUAUUGGAGUCUUCAUUAAACAGUCUUUAGAACUGAGGGAGUCAGACCGUGUCAGGCAAGGUUAUGAUGGUGUUUUUUACAUACAUUUAUAAUUGAACUCUAAUGUUCUAUUAUUCCAUAUAUUGUAUUGUAUUAUUUUGUAUUUCAUUGUAUUACAUUGUUUUUCAUUGUAU
rnacentral:lncRNA from 1 species